rnacentral:misc_RNA from 1 species
GGAAUAAAAGUCGUAACAAGGUUUCCGUAGGUGAACCUGCGGAAGGAUCCUUAUUGGAUUUUGAAACUUCAGGCUGCUGCUGGCUCUCCUCGGAGGGCAUGUGCACGCUUGUUGUCCAUUAUUUCUCCCACUGUGCACAAAUUGUAGACCUUUCAGUAGGCCUAUGUUGUUUUUCACAAUCUCUGAAUGUAAUAGAAUGGUUUUGAAUCUUGGGAAAUACAAUACAACUUUCAGCAACGGAUCUCUUGGCUCUC